AGAUUGAACGCUUAGCGGCAUGCCUAACACAUGCAAGUCGAACGGGUAACAGGCCCUUCGGGGUGCUGACGAGUGGCGGACGGGUAGAGUAAUGUCGUAGGAAUCUACCCACGAGUGGGGGAAUAGCCCGGUAGAAAUCCGGAUUAAUUACCGCAUAUGGCCCUACGGGGUAAAGGCGGGGACCGAAAGGCCUCGCGCAGCAGGAUGAGCCGAAUGUCCGAUUAGCGUAGUUGGUGGGGUAACGGCCUUACCAACGGCGACGA
rnacentral:rRNA from 1 species